CACCCACAGGCUUGCCACUCGAACUCACUUGAUCGAACAAGCGCAAGGACACCAGAAGUGUCGAGUUUUGCUUUUAAUUGAGUAUGUGCAUAUUUUGGAGGACGUUGGUCUGAGGAUGGUUUCCGUGGAUGGCUUCCUUUUCUUCCCAGGUUGCCACUCUGCGGCCUGUCAACUUAUACACUUGACCUACAUGUGCUCCAGUAGCAUUACUGGAUGAAUGGAAAUAAUGAAUGUUGCCAGAGAACAAUGUAUGAAUCUUAAAUUUAUCGAGCUGAUUGUCCAUCUCCAACCGACCCCCAAAGCCCUUCCAAUUUAGUUGCGGGCAAAUUACCAUAAAACAUGCAUAUCAUAUACCCAUCCAACGGACGGACUUGUUCCGCAUAACACCUCCUAAAACACCUCAUAUCGCCCCUAUCAACCCUGAUAAACUACCCCAACUCAUCCAGGCCCCCUCCCCCUCAUCUCCGCCGAAAUCUCAUUGGCACUCCGCCGCUUCAGGACCCCGUUUGGUCUCCCUUUCCCGCUCAACAUCCCCCCCUACUUCUGUCACCAUCCACCUCGGCCAUCACCGCAGGGACUAGCGCUGCCCCCCGACCUACAUCCAGAUCUAGCGUAACAACUGCCCACCGGCGCGAUAAACUCCCAAUCCACUUCUCAGAAGUCCGGUGCUGGGUCCCAAACUUUACCUCCAGGUACGCGGCGAGCUCGCGGCUGCGUGGUGCUAGAUAGCGGACGGAGCAGAUACGGUAGUAGCCGGCAAAGGAGAGGGCAUGGUAUUGCCUUGGGGCUGAUUGGGGAACGAAGAUGGGGUAGCUGGCUGUGGUGGCGGUGACAUUCAGUGUUGCCGCGAUCGACUCUGGGAGAAGAUGAAGGUUCGACUUGCACAAAAUUUCACGCUUUGUUUCCCAAAAUGGAUGGGCCUCUCUGAAAAGGACUAUAUAUGCCAGCGUGUGUGGAUCUUUGGCGGUUGUGUUGAGGGUUCCUUGCCAUCGCUGUCGCUCUCGCGGUGAACAUGUAGUGGUGGUUGCUGGGGCUGGGGAUUUCCCACAUUUUGAGAAACUUUUUGUCAGAGCUAAUGUCUCAUAUCAAGAAUCUUGUAACAGCUCGCUAUUUGACACUUGCAACGUCUCACUAUGUGAAACCGAGCAAUGCUCUGCUAAAUCUCAGCACUGCCUCGCUCGUAUGAUCGAGCAUAUCCUUCCUUAUAAAUACUGCCUGAUUAUCAUGUAAUUAUUGGGGUU
rnacentral:sRNA from 1 species